GUGGGGAAUAUUGGACAAUGGGCGAAAGCCUGAUCCAGCCAUGCCGCGUGUGUGAAGAAGGUCUUCGGAUUGUAAAGCACUUUAAGUUGGGAGGAAGGGCAGUAAGUUAUUACCUUGCUGUUUUGACGUUACCGACAGAAUAAGCACCGGCUAACUUCGUGCCAGCAGCCGCGGUAAUACGAAGGGUGCAAGCGUUAAUCGGAAUUACUGGGCGUAAAGCGCGCGUAGGUGGUUUUGUAAGUUGGAGGUGAAAUCCCCGGGCUCAACCUGGGAACUGCCUCCAAAACUGCAUGACUAGAGUACGGUAGAGGGUAGUGGAAUUUCCUGUGUAGCGGUGAAAUGCGUAGAUAUAGGAAGGAACACCAGUGGCGAAGGCGACUACCUGGACUGAUACUGACACUGAGGUGCGAAAGCGUGGGGAGCAAACAGGAUUAGAAACCCUUGUAGUCC
rnacentral:rRNA from 1 species